rnacentral:lncRNA from 1 species
CCAGCCUGGGUGACAGAGUGAGACUCCAUCUCAGAAAAAAGAAAGAAAGAAAGAAUGGUGCCAGAACAUUUGUAUACAAGUUUUUGUAUGAACAUGUUUUCAGUUCUCUUGGGAGUAUGCUUAGGAGUGGAAUUACCAAGUCAUGGAAACUAUGUUUAACUUAAACAUAAAGCACUGUCAAACUGUCUUUCAAAGCUGCUGCACUAUUUUACAGUCCCAUCCACAAUAUAUGAGGGUUCCAGUUUCUCCGUGUGGCUCUCCAAGCCCUCCUUUACUUGUCUUCACCGCAUUUAUCACUGCCUGACAUACCCUAUAUUCUUUUAUUACGUCUGGUUCUUCUAUUAGACAGUGAGCUCGGAGAAGUGGGGGAUCUCUUUGGUUAGCUCUGCAGCCCCAGCACCACACAGUGGCUGGCACAGAGUGCAACGCUCAACCCAUGUCUUGAAUUUGUGAAUAUAGUUCUGUAACCUUUUUUCACUAACCUAGUCCCUUGAUCUUCAUUUUACAUCUGAUUACCUUUAGUUACCCAAGUACUUUAUUUUGUAUUUAACUUGCAUUCAAAAAACAGGAUCUCAGUUCUUCCUUCUUGUAAAGUAAGAAAAUCUUAUUUAUGAUAUAUGCAGUUGACUUAUCUUGCCUCAACAGAAGAAAAGUUAAAUAUUACAUUUUUUUCUUUUAGGAAAUAUCAUUUGUGGCAAGCGUCUUUCUUGUAACAGUCUUAAAACAUCGUGACAAAGCUAAACUCCUUUCGAACAGUACUCAGAAUGAUAUUGCCCAUUCUUUCUGCUAAUCCUUUGCUUUGUAUCUUUUGUCCAUGCCUGUAUGUAUAUAGCAGAGUAGGAAAUUGGGAAAAUACAUAGUUUGGGCCUUUAAAAAGAAAAUGCUGUAAGGGUUAUUUUACAAUCUAUUUACUCAACACUGUGCCUUAGGGAUCUUUUCUUGACAGUAUAUAUAAAUCUACCUUUUAAAAAGCUGCUGCAUAGUGUUUUGUGUGAUAUACAUAUGACAAUUUAGCCAUUGCCUUUUUGUUUGUUUGUUUGUUUACCUGCUCUGGCUGGAGUGCUGUGUGGUGCAAUUAUGCUCACUGGAGCAUCAACUUCCUGGGCUCAAGCAGUCCUCUUGCUUCAGCCUCCCAAGUAGCUGGGACUACAGGCUGCACCACCACACCCAGCUAAUUUAUUUUUUGAGUAGAGGUGAGUUCUCACUAUGUUGCCCAGUCUGGUCUCAAACUCCUGAGCUCAAGUGAUCCUCCCAUUUCAGCCUCCCAAAGUGUUGAGAUUACAGGCAUGAGCCACGGCCCCUGGCUGUUGCCUCAUUUUCUAAAUCACAGAUUUGUAGAGUGACUAAUUUUUGCAAAACAGUGUUUUUAAAGGUUUUUAAAAUUUAAUAUUAUGAUGUUAGGUAUCAUAUUAGUGUGUCCAAAAUAGCCACAAAGAAAGAGAUGAUACUGUUGAACCAGAAACUUGAAAUCCUGAUUUAUCUGCUUCGAGGAACAAAAUCAAUUCCUCAAAACCUUAUAAGACAAAAUAUAUUUUAAUGUCAUAGUAGUUAGGAGGUAUCAAACUCAGUUAUAAAUAGGGGGCUUUAAUUCCCAUAGUGAUAGAACUUUUUAGGCACUUCAGGAUUAUAAUACGGUAACAGUUUUCUUCCCUGCCACUCUGGGGUGCUCUCUGAAGCGGCAUCUCCGGCAGAGAACUCCAUAGUGUGUGAUGAGCCUGCUGCUUGCUCAGUAUUGGCAUUUACCUCUUAAUAUACUGUCCUAUGCCCAUCUGGAGUAUAAGCCUCCCAGAGGAGACUGGGCAGAGAUUAACUUGGCAGUAAAGAUUAUCUGACAAGUCUAAUAUUUUAUGUCUUUGUAAUUCCCCAUUUUCAAGUAUAUAUCUCAAUUAGUUUAUCUUGAUAUGUGCUCAAAGAUAUAAACUAUUGUCAUCCCAUGUUUAUGCUAUUACACAUAACUUUUUAUUUAAAGUUCUGGUCAUAAAAUUCUGGUUCAAACAUUCUAGAAUUCCCAGCUUCUAUUUCUGGAGCUGUGACUCUCAGUCAGUCAAUGCUUAGGCCAUGCCUUUGAGGCACUAGGUAUUGAAAGUCACCACUUCUUCAUUAUCUUAGGAUUCUCAGUUCUUUCUUCAAAACUUAUACUUUCAGGUUUUCUUAAUUAACUGGUCAUUCCAUACAUCUGUGUAAAAUAAUUUCUAGGAAAACUCCGAAUCUCAAAACCUUUGUUUUAUACUUACUACUUCAUUUCCAGUAGAUGGCACCAAACACCCUUUGAAGGUCUUCAUUAUACUAAUCCCUAGUUGGUGUUGCUGGCUAAUUGAUAAUUUCAUCCACCACCAAGGAACGAACAUGGUCUAUUCUUCAGCUGAUUCUCUAAUUUUUAUAUAAUGUAGUAUUUUUGUUUGGAGUCUAAGCUAGACUUGUUGGCAUUUAAAUUAUUUGCUGUUUCUGGCUCAGAUUUCAACCUUUUUUCCCCCUUUUUAAGACAAAAAUAAGUGUGACUUUCUGGUCAGGGUGAUUGUAGAGGAAGGGUCAUGAUACUGAAAUAGGACUUGGUUAAAAUAAAGAGUUGAGAGUAAGAGACUAAAGACAUAUGCCAAAUGUUUGUAAUAAAAUUAAAGAGAAAAUAUAAAUAUAUACAAAAUCCAAAAUGUCAGGAUAAUGAAAUCAAAGCAUUUUUAGUAUUAUCACUUUGGGUACUUUAGUAGAAUUGCACUCGUUUAUGAUUUUGAAGUUUGUUUUACAAAUAACAUCCAAUUUAAAAAUACUCUUUUAAAACUUAGAUCCUUUUAUAGUUCAUAAACAUAGUAAUUAGGUGUUCCCAUUGCAUGUAUGAGAUGUGCCUCCCAAAGAGCUUGUUACAGCGUUAGUACAUUACCUGUCUGAUAUGGAGAAAAAAAACUGUUAUAUUUCUACCUUCAUUUCCAACUUUGUAUUGUGCUUUGAAAACCUUUACCUUCAGUAUGUGUAUUUCAUUAGUAUUUUCAUAAAGAAUCAGUUUUUAGAUCCAGUUAACCACUGAAACCAGAAUAUGCCUAUAUGUCAGGCAUGAUUUACUACAUGUUUAUUCUAUUUAUUGAGUUGAUUUAAUUUUAGUGGGUUUGUGGACAUUAAAAAAUACAUGUUUAAUAUUUCCCACCAUAAUUACAUUUACACCUUUGUCUUUCUUUUUCUUCAGUACUUGAGUUGUCAGUGUUUUGUGACUCAGUCUGGAAAUCUGUUUAAACCACCUUGUCUUUAUACAACUACCAACAGGAGGAUUGGUAAUUUGGGCUCUGGGUGAGACAUACAUAGGUUCAGUUUCCAUGUCUGCAGCUGAAUGCAUGACAGGGAAAAUCAUUUAGCCUCCCUGGGCCUCAGUUUCUUCACGUGCAAAAUGUAAUUAACACAACCUACCUCAUGGGGUUAUAUUGAGGAUUAGAGAUAAUGUAGGUAGGAUACCUACACAUAGUAAGCUAUUAUAUAUUGGCAACAAUA